rnacentral:rRNA from 1 species
GACGAACCGUGCAAACGUUGUUCGGAUUCACUGGGCUUAAAGGGCGCGUAGGCGGUACGCCAAGUCUGGGGUGAAAUCUUUCGGCUCAACCGGAAAAUUGCCUGGGAUACUGGCGUGCUCGAGGGAGGUAGGGGCAGCGGGAACUGCCAGUGGAGCGGUGAAAUGCGUUGAUAUUGGCAGGAACGCCGGUGGCGAAAGCGCGCUGCUGGACCUCUUCUGACGCUGAGUGCGCGAAAGCUAGGGGAGCAAACGGG